rnacentral:lncRNA from 1 species
CUAAUCUUAGUUCAGGCUCCUCGGACAACAUAUUCAAUGAUCUUGCCUGCCUGCAGUAAAGAAGGCAUGUGAACAUUACAAGCUGGUGUGCUAUAGAUGCGCUAAUAAAGGCAGCUGUGUCCUUACAGCAUCUUUCAAAGUGCUAAACUGCCAUUCUUUGUUUUUGUUUUAAUUGCAAGAAGUGAGUAAAUCAAAUGUGUUCUUAUGCCUUGUUAAUGAACAUAACGGAAUGUUUAGAUUUGUACAAAAAGUAAAGAAGGCACAGAGUGCUUAUAUUACCCUUUCCACCAAUCAGUCAAUGCUUUAAUUAUGACCAAUUUUUAACUGCUUAAUCAUAAUAAACCACAAUAAGAUCAUUAAAGCUGGGAUGGUGAGUACUGAUUUGUUGUUUCAAAUAGGAUUUUAAAUAAAGAAAGAAGAAAGACAAUGCAGAGAAUGAGAACUACUACUGCUGCUGCUAUUGACCUUUUUCAAAGCAAUCACGUGGGCAUUGCCAUGUUUGAUCACGUAGUACCACAUCCACUGCAUGCCUCAGCUGCCUGUGUGUUUGCAAUGGGUGUACAUGAUCCAGGUGCAGCUCUGCAAACCUCUGUUUCGGCAGAUAUCGUAGACGGUGACUAGGUGGGUGACACACGAAGCUUUGGCUACAACUUCAAAGGACAUGUAAGCGCUUUCAGAGCUCAUUACGCUUUGUUCAAAUGGCACGAGUGGCAUAUACGGUGGUAGUAAUAAAAGCGGUGCUAAAAAUGUAUUCCAAGCUAUCCUAACUUUCCGCUUGUGAACUGAAUCAGUAUCAGUGUGUUUAGCUCUUCGUUCGUUAUUCGGUAGAUACAUUUAAGCAGCGGCUUGUCACGUUUCUGAAUCAGAAAAGUUUGCUGGGUGGUCAUUAUCUCAUUUUUUAUUUUUUGCCUGAUCGCUUACUAUAUGCCAAGAAGCAGCAUUUCUCCCUUUGUCACCGUAUAACAAGCGGUACUCACUCGUGCAGAUGAUCUGGUGUUCAUGUCCUUUCCUAAGAGUUUAGCACUACAAUGCUGGCAGAUGAGUGAAUUUUUUUUUAUCCAUAUGGGAAGCCACGCAACUCAGAGCUGGCAACACAGGCAGUCCUUAUGUAGCAGCGGUCCGUGAGAUUAGACACACAGAUUGAUUCCAUUCUUUAAUAUGCCAGUCACAAUUUUUCCAGCCAACUACUGCAGAUACCUUUCUUCACUCCACCGCUCCAUAUUUUGCAGCAUGAAUGGAGCACAGUGCAUUAGUGAAAACCCAGUUACAUCUACAACAGCUGAUCGCACAGAAGCAGGGCAGAAAAGGCCAUGAAAUGGUGCUGAUGAAAUGCCCCUGCAAGAAAGGCCAUAAUUAGGCAUUAUCACAAGCAUCUUCCAAACAGUCAGUGCAUAUACCACAGUCACAAGCUGCUUGGAAAGGCAAGGAAUGCUGGGCCAUCUUCUUGAGGAUACUGAACAUGGCUUCCAUUGAGUCUGGCUGCUCAUGACACAAGUGCAGCUGAAAAAAUAGUAAGGCAUACUGAUUACAAAGAAAGCUGGCUUUGCUGCUUGCGAAAGAGCACUGAGGUGAAGGUUUCUACGUUCCGAAUGAAAAGAACUGUGGAGGUUUUGUGCAGCAUUCGUUAAUGCAUUGACUCCUACAUGUUUUGUUACUGUGAUUGUGUGGGAAAAUAAAGCGCGUACGCCUU